rnacentral:rRNA from 1 species
CUCUGUUGUCAGGGAAGAACAAGUACCGUUCGAACAGGGCGGUACCUUGACGGUACCUGACGAGGAAGCCACGGCUAACUACGUGCCAGCAGCCGCGGUAAUACGUAGGUGGCAAGCGUUGUCCGGAAUUAUUGGGCGUAAAGCGCGCGCAGGCGGUUCCUUAAGUCUGAUGUGAAAUCUCGCGGCUCAACCGCGAGCGGCCAUUGGAAACUGGGGAACUUGAGUGCAGGAGAGGGGAGCGGAAUUCCACGUGUAGCGGUGAAAUGCGUAGAGAUGUGGAGGAACACCAGUGGCGAAGGCGGCUCUCUGGCCUGUAACUGACGCUGAGGCGCGAAAGCGUGGGGAGCGAACAGGAUUAGAUACCCUGGUAGUCCACGCCGUAAACGAUGAGUGCUAAGUGUUAGAGGGUAUCCACCCUUUAGUGCUGCAGCAAACGCAUUAAGCACUCCGCCUGGGGAGUACGGCCGCAAGGCUGAAACUCAAAGGAAUUGACGGGGACCCGCACAAGCGGGUGGAGCAUGUGGUUUAAUUCGAAGCAACGCGAAGAACCUUACCAGGUCUUGACAUCCCCUGACAACCCUAGAGAUAGGGCGUUCCCCUUUCGGGGACAGGGUGACAGGUGGUGCAUGGUUGUCGUCAGCUCGUGUCGUGAGAUGUUGGGUUAAGUCCCGCAACGAGCGCAACCCUUGACCUUAGUUGCCAGCAUUCAGUUGGGCACUCUAAGGUGACUGCCGGCUAAAAGUCGGAGGAAGGUGGGGAUGACGUCAAAUCAUCAUGCCCCUUAUGACCUGGGCUACACACGUGCUACAAUGGGUGGUACAAAGGGCAGCGAAACCGCGAGGUGGAGCGAAUCCCAAAAAACCACUCUCAGUUCGGAUUGCAGGCUGCAACUCGCCUGCAUGAAGCCGGAAUCGCUAGUAAUCGCGGAUCAGCAUGC